CCAUGUUGGUUCUAGAUCCUCAUCUGCUGGACGUCUGGCGAUGAUCUUUAUCGGUCGUCGUCAAUUGCCAGCACGUUUACAUUGGCAAAAUUCUAUUGCUAAAAGCAGGCUCACGCCUAUCUAUACUGCAUGGAAUAAUGAAAUAACAUCUCACUUUUAUUUCGAUGGUUUUAGAAAUUGAGAUGCUGAUUAAUAGGAUCACAGGGGGGCAUACUUACUGAGGUGUGAGAGGUGAAAUUCUGGGAUCGCCACUGGACGAAAAGUCUUCAAGGCGUUCGCCAAGAAUGUUUUCAUUAAUCAGCAACGAAAGUUUGAGGUUCUAAUACCAUUAAAUACCGUCCUAUUUCAAACAAUAAACGUUGCCUACUGCCUGUCACAUGCCUUCAUUUAUAUGACUCUCCUCGCGUAUCUGGAGAAAUCUGAGUUUUUAGGUUACAGGGGAAGUAUGGUUGCGAAGGUCAAACUUAAAAGAAUUGACGGAAGGACACACAAGAAGUGGAGCCUGGAGCCUAAUUUGACUCAACACGGGACACCUUACUUGUCCCGGACACCGGAGGAUUGACAGAUGAGAGCUCUUUCUUGAUUAGGUGGGUGGUGGUGCAUGGUCGUUGGUAGUUCGUAGAGCGAUGAGUGAGAUUUAUUUUGAUAACGAACGAGAAUCGGGCUUACAAAAUAGUGUAAAGUUUGAAGGGACUUUUCCAGACUUCUUACCAGGAUAAGUGG
rnacentral:rRNA from 1 species